rnacentral:rRNA from 1 species
CCUACGGGUGGCAGCAGUGAGGAAUAUUGGUCAAUGGGCGAGAGCCUGAACCAGCCAAGUCGCGUGAGGGAGUACUGCCCUAUGGGUUGUAAACCUCUUUUGUCGGGGAGCAAAAGCCGGACGUGUCCGGCUGUGAGAGUACCCGAAGAAAAAGCAUCGGCUAACUCCGUGCCAGCAGCCGCGGUAAUACGGAGGAUGCGAGCGUUAUCCGGAUUUAUUGGGUUUAAAGGGUGCGCAGGCGGAUUUUUAAGUCAGCGGUAAAAUCGUGGGGUUCAACCCCAUCCAGCCGUUGAAACUGGGGAUCUAGAGUGUGCGAGAGGUAUGCGGAAUGCGUGGUGUAGCGGUGAAAUGCAUAGAUAUCACGCAGAACCCCGAUUGCGAAGGCAGCAUACCGGUGCACAACUGACGCUCAGGCACGAAAGCGUGGGUAUCGAACAGGAUUAGAUACCCCUGUAGUC